AUUGAACGCUGGCGGCAGGCCUAACACAUGCAAGUCGAACGAGUGGCGGACGGGUGAGUAAUGUCUGGGAAACUGCCUGAUGGAGGGGGAUAACUACUGGCAACGGUAGCUAAUACCGCAUACCAUCGGAUGUGCCCAGAUGGGAUUAGCUAGUAGGUGGGGUAAAGGCUCACCUAGGCGACGAUCCCUAGCUGGUCUGAGAGGAUGACCAGCCACACGGGAACUGAGAAACGGUCCAGACUCUGACGGUAGGAAGCAGUGGGGAAUAUUGCACAAUGGGCGCAAGCCUGAUGAAGCCAUGCCGCGUGUAGGAAGAAGGCCUUCGGGUUGUAAAGUACGUUCAGCGGGGAGGCGUUACCCGCAGAAGAAGCACCGGCUAACUCCGGGCCAGCAGCCGCGUUAAUAC
rnacentral:rRNA from 1 species